GUUAGUUUGCUAGCGAACCACGUGAAAAAAAACGAGCCUUACGUUAAUCGAGGUUCUGCAAACAUGAAAGCGCUUCACGCGACUGGUGUGCACGAUUAUCGAUUCAACCGGCCACGAAUUUUAUUCGGAACAAUGACACGGAAUAAUGAACCCUGCAACAGAACGACUCCACGUGUGUCGGUUUGAAAAAUUGUCGAUAUAUAUGUAUGUCGAAUCGUACAAAUGUUGCCCGAUGUUUCAAUUGGAAUCUACCAGAACUUAGUCGACAGAUGUAUUCCAGGAUAACGAUUAUCGUCGAUAACCGGAUACCGUCGGAGAGGAAAUUCGGAACUAUCUACUUACAUACACGGUGUGGGAAUACUAUGAAGUAGGCUGAGAAAAAGAAGAAAAGAGAAGAGAAAAGCGAGUAUAAAAGAGUCGGAGCGUGAGUUGAAGGGAUAGCGGUAGAUUCGAGGCGACCGCUGCUUCGAAUCGAAUAACGGAGCUACCCUCGGUCUGCUGCCUUCUCGCCGGAAUAAUAAGGACUCCAUUCUCUCGAGAUCGAGAAAAUCGAUCGCACCCUAUCACGUCCAUCGCGCAUUAUUGCCGCCGCCUGUUUCCGACAACUCGUCCACGCCGUUGGUCUACGCCUGAUUGUGGCCACGCUUGACAGACCCAUCCCGCAAAAGAAGCAGACCACACGCCCGCAGGAAUAACGCACUCCCUCGAUAAAAUUACCUUGUCUGGUCGACUGUCGAAAUUGUCUGUUUCUUUUAGCAGAAAGGUUUGAAGAAUUUCAUUUCUUAACUUGACCGAACAAAGAGCCGAGUUAGAAACUUUUCCCGUAACCGAUUGUAAGUUGGCAACAAUUUUGUAAUUUGACGGCAAACUGACAAAUCAGCUUCAUUAUGAAAAAGUGAAAAGGUGGAUAAAAGCGUGCAUGGUACCAUUUUUAUAGCUCUUUUAAGUGGUAUGUAAUAUGUAUCGAACAUCUACUGUGUAACGUGUUUUAAGGAUUCGAUCUUUUCUUUACAGAACAUUCAUUGAAGACAACGAGCAAUUAAAUUCAGGUUCGAAUAUUAUUCAGAGUUAAAUAGUAGCAAAUUAUUAUUGUAAAUUGUUGAAUGCAAUUAUACAAGGAGAAUGUUUGUAUAAAUUGUCAGCAGUUUGCGCUAAUACUGUUCAGUAUCUGUAAACGUUUCGCUCAGAAAGCAAUUACGGAUCUAAUAUCUCUAACUGGAAACUUCGCAAACCCUGAUAGAAUGUAAUAAUUUGAAAAUUUAUUACGUAAUUUAGCAAGAGAUUAGCAGAUAUUACAGCAUCCUUCUCGCCAUUCCAAUUUAAAUCUUGCUCCAGAAAUAAAUAUUCUACCUUGCUUGUUGGUACCACCCUAUCCAACUCGAUAAACGAUUACAUACUUAUUACGAUUUAAUCCUUUAAUAUCUAGGCAUUUAAUAGUUACACACUUGAAUUUCUCCGGCAGACCCAUACCAUAUCAUAUAUACAAGUACGUUUAGUCUAAUCUGAAGAUACCCUCAUAAGAUAUAACAGAGCAUUUUAAUUCUUUUUAUGUACACUUAACAAACAAAAGGUGAUACGGGACUAUGUCCUGUCGUCACGAAUGAAAAUUAAUUUCUAUCGGCUUUCACUGUAGACAGACAUCGUCACAGCAUCCUCUAGCUGGAAUACGUGACCCAAUAUGUCGAGCAGGGCUUAGAACAACCCUCUCCUUUAUUAAGUUAACCCUAUAUGCACGAAAUCCAUCCAUUUAUAUAUCCCGUGGGAACUCCGCUUGUAUCUUUGUAAGUAAUUGUGUCAUUUGAGUAUUCAAAUAAAGUCAAAUUAAUGAUAAUGACGAACAGUUUCGGAGAUUAUGUAGUAACGACACCAAUUACAUGCAACGGAUUUCUCGUUACAAUAAGAACGAGUUUAACUUGAGAUUCAUUGAAAGUCGUUAAAAAGAAACACCAGUCGAAAGCUUCACUAGCAACGCUAAAGCAAACACGAUUAUCAUUUCUUCGCAACUCUAAUUGAAACCUUAAUCAGUCUUUCGCGAUACUAAAAAGCUUAAAAAUACAAAACUUUUUCGCAACUCUAAUUUAACCGUAAUUAAUCUGUUGGUCAGCCCACAUAUACAUCGAAAAAAAAGAAAAAGGAGAUAACUACAGAUACUAAAAGCGAGCAUAGUGACAAAGUAAUAACGAGAAUGAUUUUCCAUGCUCUGGGUGAUCCAGAGGAUGGAAAACCAUUAGUAGUUGCCCUCUUCUAUGGCAAUUUGCCGGGCCUCUUCGGCUCGUAGCCUCUUCUUUCUUCGGGCGCAAUACCCGCUGAAACCAACGAUCAUAGUGAUCGCUGUCCGUUUCGAAACCUACUCGCGACCACGACCACGAAAUUCGAGAAAUUGAUGGACGAGAGCAGAGACGAAUGGUAUGCUUCACUCGCGGUGCCAGCCUCGCCAUCGAUUUUUCAAAUCAAUUUUCCUGAAACAGGUUGGACACGCGAAAACGCGCCUACCCAACCAGAGACUGUGCCAACCUGCCCGACCCUACCUAUUUAUAAUUAACAUUCACACCAGAAAGUAUGCUACCUAUCCUAUCUAGCCCUAUAUUUAAAAAAUGGCAAAACAGGCACACCAACACACUCGCUCCACGGUUCUCACACAUAACCCGGGCGCAAGAGCCUACACUAGAGAAACGUCCCGGGACGCCUCCGACACCCGAGUUUGGCACACAACCUUCACGCUCUAAUUUACAUACCAUUUUCCUGAAAUCGACUGACGUUGGCUACCGACCGUUGCAUACAAAUUUUUUGCAUAUUUUGAUUUUAAUUAGAAUUAAUUUGAAGCAUAUUUGAAUUCCAAUCUUAAUUAAAUAUACAUAAUUGUGCGUGACUAUAUGUAUAUUAUCUAAAGAAAUAAUAUUAUUAAAUAGCUGAUACGCAGUCUGAUAUCAUUGUAAUGCAAAGGCAAGAUUAAUAAUCUGCUGUACAUAUCUAAUAACAAUGUUAUUGUAAAUUGCAAUCAUACUUCUGAAAUUUCUAAUUUGAAAAUUAUAAUAAAUAGCAAAAACGACGCAAUUCCACAGCCUAGCUACGCACACACACACACACACACAUACAUACAUUGUGGAAAAUACGUCGUGCAUGAUAUACUAACGCAACGUCAGUCGCUGAGAAAUUAGGUAUUAGGUUUAUAAUCACCUUGUCUACUACCUGUCUCCUACCUAAGUAGCAUCUGGACACGUGAGUGAGGUUCUAGCAAUAAAUAUGGAAGAGAUUAAACCUGAAAAUCCUAGGCUGAAAUAUGAUCAAUUGCAAUAUUUCGUAUAUUUUGUAUCUAACGGCCUAAUAUUUCUCGACUUUGUAGUUCAAUUUUAUUUCCAAUUUUAACAGCUUUAUAUUCUACUUUAUCUCAUUACUUCGAUGAAUUACUAAACUACUACACAAAAAUGAAAAAAAGUUAAUAAAAAAUAUAUUUCUUAAAGAACAGAUGAAGAUUCGAUACAAAUGGUAUUUAUAUCAAUAAAUAACAGUGAAAUAUCCUCAGGAGAUUCCUUUAUCAGAACACAUCUUUGAAAACAUAAACAUAAAAAAGUGCUUGAAGCUUGUUUUGAUUCUGAAAUCUGCCUGUCGCGAAGUGUCUUCUUGCACGUGGAAAUUUAAUACAUUCUUGGACGGACAAGAUUACAAUUUGGAAUCUUUUGUCUUUAAUAUAUUUCACAUGUCAAAUUUCACUAAAUAUGGAAAUCAAAUAAUAAAAUUGUUCCACAUUAUAAUGAAACAGAAGAUAAAAUUAAAUAUUAUUCAUGGAAACUCAUUAACACUAUAAUAAUUUUAGUCAUAUGUAAUUGAAAUCUCUCAUAAUAACGAAGCCUGAGGGUAUUCGACUUUUCCACUACGAUAUAACUAAAUGAAGUUGUUUCGUUAUUUAUUACAAUAUUCAUGUUUUAUUUAUUAAUAAAUAUUCAAUGUCCGGGCAUUUAAUCCUUCUAUAUAAUCAUAUAAACUUUGAUUUUAUAAAUAAUUCUAUAUUAUACGAUUUUGAAACAUAGAUACAUAUAUUAAUUAUCAAAACAUUGCAUUAUUCAUGUCAAUCCUUUAUAUUGCAAUACAAAAACACGAUGUGCAAGAAAACCUAUCCUGAACUAAUAAAUAAAACACAGAUAAGAAACGUUACUACUCACGAAUAUAUAUUAAAUAUUCGCGGUCACUAUGCUCGACAAAAAUUCUACGUAAUACAACCAGUCAUCCGUGCCGAUUCGGACCUUUCAUCCUACGACAUGAUUGAGUGACCAGAGGAACAAAAAUGCCUGCGACUCACCAUUAGAUACGAAGAACGCUGCUCGAUGUCGAUGACCCAAGAGUAGCUAUUGGGAAGCCCAUCAAAUAAGAUCCACAAAAUUCCCCUGAAAAAGGGAAAACUCGAAGAAAUCUGUAACAAAACGUGGAAUACUGUAAUUUGUUCUUAAAAAUAAUAUUGAUUAUUUGAAAGUUUUAAAACAAUUUGAAGUGUUUGAAUUUUCAACAGAUUUUAUUUUUUAAUUAAUACGAAUGAAAGAAAGAAAAACGUGAAAUGAUAAUAUUAUCACAGACAAUUGACGAUAACGAAACAAAAUGCAGAAGUUAUUUCAAUUCUUCAACAAAGUCUAGAGAAUGUAAGUUGAAUUAAUGUUAAAAAAUUCGUUUAAUUUCAUUGAAAUGAAAAAGUAAUUUAACAUAUUCGAAUUAAAAAUAGUGAUUCGUUUAAUCUCACAUAUUUUCACCUUAGUCUUCGUAAUAAACCGUAAAAUUAUACAAAAUAUCAUAUUACGUACAUAUUAAUUAUAUUAGUAUCGUGAAUUAUUUGUAAGGAAUGUAGUUGCAUCAAUUGAAUACUAAAUAAACAUGACAACUAUCUUAUAAAAAGAUGAAGCAACGUAAAGAUACGUUUGCCCUAAUGAGAAUAAAUCAAAUGUUACCAUAUUUCUGCGAGAAGUUAGCGGAUCGAAUAUUGCAUAGAACGAAUAUCGUUAAACAUCAUGGCGUCCUCCUAAUGCUACGAUGUUACUCUCGCAAUCAACUAACCUGUACGAAAACGAACCAACACUAUCAAAUAAAUGUAUAAAGGGAACAGAUUAUAUAAAAACGAAUAAAUGAUGAAGAUCAAGUGCCAUUUUGAAAGUUUAUGAUACGAACUACUAAUAAAUGUAACGAUCAGAGAAACGAUCAAAGAAAGAAAGAUACCUUAGUUAUAAAUUAUGAUAUCUUAUAAAUUAUUAAUAAUUAAUAAUUAUUACGUUAAUUAAACAAAGUUAAUCGUAGCCUGGGUAUAAACGCUGAAAGGAUGACGACAAAGGUAUUACGCAGUUAACAAACGCCAUGUUCGGGUGAUACAUCUUAUAAUGCCUCGAUUUUCGACAAUAGAAUAACCCCCCGCGCAACAGGUUCGCGUCGCAAGCUACGUAAUUCGGUGGAGUGAGGCUACCAACACACACGAAUAGAAUUCGGUUGAUAUCCUACAGAAACAAAUUUUUUUUACUAGAUACGUCGCUACUAGAUACAUUGAUGUUUACAGUAAAUUUCUUGUAGUUUCUAUACGUGUUUAUCUUCAGAUUGGUCUCAAAUUUGACAACACAAUCACAAUAGCCAUAUCUUAUUAGAAUAUUAAUACAAAAUGUUUUAUACGAUACAAAUGGUCAUUUCUCGUUACAAUGCUAAUGCGAAAUAUUUUAUAUUAUACACGUAAACAUGCCUCAUUACAAUGCUAAUACAAAAUGUUUUACAUUAUACAUAUAACAUAUAUAAAAGUUUCCUAUAGUAAAUAUUGAAAUACUUUUGUGAAUUACUGUAUGUAGAAAUACAAUAAGUACAUAUAUAUGUAUAUUCACUCUUAAUCACCUUCAGUAAUCGGAUUAGUUGGAUAUGUAUAUGUAAUAACUCUUCUAAAUAUUACUCAUUAUUCUAAAUCGCAGAUGAAUUCGACAAUACAAAAAUAAAUCUAAAAACUAUAUAUUUACCUGACAACUUCUAAAUGAACCGUUCUCGAAUCUUUUUGCUGUGCUUCUCGUCCAAGACUAACACUUCUACAGUUCUGUUGCCCACCAAUAUGAUAUAUCGAUCGCGAGAAAUUUAUAUCGAUUGCGAUUGAACAUUGCGAUACAUAAUUGCAUAUUUUGCCGUUUCAUUGGCGCUGUUAUCUCUACCAAAUAUAAGAACAUUGCGCGCGCAUUUCGUACAGAGAUACAUUGUCUAACUUGGAACAAAAAAUAAAAAACUCCAUUCUUUUAUCCUCCUCGCCUAUUAAAUAAUACAAUUGACUUAGAAAAAUAUCUGUAAUUUUAUUUUUUAAAAUUUGAUUUAAAUCAAAUAAAUGUAUUCUAAUUUUAAGUGUCAAUUUUAAGUUAUAUUAACUUAAUGAAUUUAAUUUGGUAGUUCGUUAUGCCGUAAUAUCCCUUCACAUCUAAAUGAUUUUACCCCCCCCCCCAAAUAAUUUCUAUUAUAUAUAUAAAAAAUAGUUCUUCUAUUAUACAUCUUGUUCGAAAACACAUGUUCUGUAAUACCGACUAUUGAGAAAUUUUAUUACGCCAUCUACAGUUUAUAACAUGGUACGCCAUUUAUUUAAACAAAGUUUUAGUUGAAGCUCGAUUAAAUAAACUUCUGGUAAUUCGAUUUAUGUAUUUGAAUACGAAUUACUGUUAUAUGAAUGAAAAACCUUAGGUAGAAAAACCUUAGAAGACAAAACAGAGUUACGUGUGUGAAAAUAUAUUAAACUUACAUAUUUAAUAAUUAAUCGUUGUUAACGACUCGGAAUUAAAAAAUUGAAACGGAGUGAUUCGACGAAAGAUAUAUUAAACAAUAAACACAUCUUUUCACCCGGGAGAUCAUAUGCAUAGAAAGAUGUUUCAAUAUUUCAAUGAAUGUGCAUCUCUCACUGUCUCGCAGGGAAAUACGAAUACUUUGCUCCAUAACGUAGAUUGUAUAUAUUUUAAUAAAGUUUUUAUGCAAUAUUAAAAUCAUUCAAAUGCAUUUCUGUAACAGAAUUGUUGGAUUCACGAUUUCCGCAGGAUUAGAUAAAUAAAUGUAUCCAUUCUGAAGGAGAUGGAAGCAUAAGAGGAUAGCAAGAGGCGUGAGAUUAUAUAAGUGGAACAAGCUAACUCCGUCCACUUUGUCGACAUAUUUCUUUUGCGAGGAAAGCUUAUUUCACGUAGUCUACUCGUAAUCCAUCCGUUUACUUUAGUAAGGACUGUAUCGAUCUGCGCUGCGCGUUGCAGCGCGCAUUCGUAUACGGAAUGAAUAUGCGUCAUUUGUGCGUGAAUACAUAGGGAGUAGGUUGGUUGCGAUGAAUUUCUGAUUCAGAUCGUUUUCAUGGGCCAGUCGUUUAAUAAAAUAUUAAUAUUGUAUUAUCAGUUGCAAUGCAAAAUCCAAAACCUUCUACAAUAUGGAGUGGAUACACAUAAUCUUCAUAAAAUGAUUCAACCUCUUAGACAAAAUAUUUUUCCAAGUGAUACGUAAAGGAUAGAAACGGUGGCAAACUCUGUCAGCUAAUUACUUUAACGAGUUUCAAGUGGCAUUUGAUCAUCGCAAGAGUCGGCGACGCGAAAAUAUAGUCGGCGAUGCGAUAUAGAGGACCAGAACUAGAAGGUGUUACACAUCCUACACAUCGCUGCAGAAGCAAGAGGAUUGUACGUUCCCGUAUUUUUGGAAGCGGAAUAAUGCGUUUGUAUUCCUGAAUAAGUUUCAUGAAAUUUUAUCGCUGCUAGAAUUUGAAUCUUCCUUUUUGAACGACGUCUGGAUGAAAGAAAGUUUGAGAUAUCUUGGGUAAAUUUGGUUAAUUUAAUUACAGAAGUUACUUCCUCUGUUUGCGUUAUGAAAAAUUUACUCAGAGCUUUAAUUUAAAGAAGAAAUAUUUGAAAGCAAUGCAUAUUUUAUUUUAAUUGCCCUAUCUAUGAAAAAAGGAAGAAUUAGGUACAUUGUUAUGAUUUGCAUUCGUGAAACUUCGAACUGACAAGAAAUUGUAGUUCCUACGCAACGUUGAUAAAAAUUAUUGAAACAUAUGAAUCGUAUAUACAUAUUCCCAUAUAAAUUUUCGUAACAUGAUUACAGCCGUAUUGAAUGUUAAUUUUUUAUGAGUUCUCGGAUAUUUAGUUAAAUCAAGUUAACGUUUGAUUUGCUUUUUAAUGUAUUUUCCGUUUAAUAUUCUUCAACGUGACAACAAUAAGAACAAAAUUGUAGUCUAUAUAAUAAUAAUAAAUACAUUGUGCGUGUAACAAUAACAAUAACAAUAUGAAUUCAAUAACAACGAUAUUGAGAUAAAUAAAAGAUAUCGUGUAAUUUA